UACGGAGGGUGCAAGCGUUGUCCGGAUUUAUUGGGUUUAAAGGGUGCGUAGGCGGCCUGUUAAGUCAGUGGUGAAAGCCUCCAGCUCAACUGGAGAACUGCCAUUGAUACUGUCAGGCUUGAGUACAGACGAGGUAGGCGGAAUUGAUUGUGUAGCGGUGAAAUGCAUAGAUACAAUCAAGAACACCGAUUGCGUAGGCAGCUUACUAGGCUGUAACUGACGCUGAGGCACGAAAGCGUGGGGGAGCGAACAGG
rnacentral:rRNA from 1 species